rnacentral:rRNA from 1 species
AUUGAACGCUGGCGGCGUGCUUAACACAUGCAAGUCGAUCGGUAACGCGGGGGCAACCCUGGCGACGAGAGGCGGACGGGUGAGGAACGCUUGGGAAUCUGCCUAUCAGCGGGGGACAACACGGGGAAACUCGUGCUAAUACCGCAUACGCCCUACGGAGGAAAGCCGGGGACCGCAAGGCCUGGCACUGAUAGAUGAGCCCAAGCCGGAUUAGCUAGUUGGCGGGGUAACGGCCCACCAAGGCGACGAUCCGUAGCUGGUCUGAGAGGACGAUCAGCCACACUGGGACUGAGACACGGUCCAGACUCCUACGGGAGGCAGCAGUGGGGAAUAUUGGACAAUGGGGGAAACCCUGAUCCAGCGACGCCGCGUGGGUGAAGAAGGCCUGCGGGUUGUAAAGCCCUUUCGGUAGGGACGAAAGCUCUCGACCUAACACGUCGGGAGGUUGACUUAACCUACAAAAGAAGCACCGGCCAACUCUGUGCCAGCCGCCGCGGUAAUAC